ensembl:lncRNA
CAACACCUUGGUGGCGCUGGAAUCCACCAUGACUAUGACAUCACCAUCAGUAGGACCUGCAUGCCCAGACUCUGCUGUCAAAAGCAUGAGAUGACUGUGGCUUGGUGAGCUGGGGGAAUGAAGCCUGGCUGCUGCUUCCUGAAGAUCUCAGCCACUGGAGGGGGUCAGAGCACCUUGCUGCACAGCCUCAGCUGCUUGCUGCAAAAGGAUCACAGAGGAUCCAGUGAGAGACAGGAAGAUGGACAGUGAAACAAGGGGAGCGACUCCUCUCAACCUGACACAAUUACGGACUGUGGGAGAAGCACCCAGGUUACAAAAUCAACUCGUGAGGACAAACCAAGGGAUGCUGCUGCCCCUUGAACGUUUUUCUGUCUUGCUCUCCAGGAGCUGAGGAUCUCUGGACAAACUCUGAGAGACAGAGGUCAGAGGAAUGGGACAGAGGGUAUUACUGGCGUGGGACGAGGUAUUAAGAAAUGGACGCCUAAACUGAGGCUCCUACAUUUGUAUUUUGAGCCCCUCAAUGCGGGCUUGAUCCUGUGCCCUUUGAAGUCCAUGCCGACGCUUCCCCUGAAUCCAGUCUGCAAGAUGGAGUCCCAGUGACGGUCAGGUCCUGCAAAG